CACCGGGUCACUUGUACGUGCGUAAUAAGUAAUGACCCCGUGCCCGUGUCGUGACGUUGGUCUUGGAGCAGUGGGUCAGUUGGCUGGGCGUAGCUCUAUCCAGUAGCGACACAUUGCACAUUCAAUCGUGUUCCUCAGAAAAAAUGUCAGGUCAUUUGGGUCAAAGUGUCGAGAGAUGCAGAAUAUGAGGGGUUCUAAAUGUAGAUUAUAACUGUAGUAAGAUUUCUAAAAUAAACAAGUUUGUGAAAUGAAACUCAACAUCUUACAUAUUACCUAUGGCAAGGGUGGCAGAUAUCAACGGUAGGCUUCAUCCCGCCUACUUCUUCUCGAUAACGGCAGCACUUCCAACUUCAUCACUCAGGAUCUGUGCCAUAAGCUCGGUCUGAAUACACGAAGCACUAUCUCU